AAAAAAAACACAAAACCAAACCCUAGCUUUCAAUUUAUCCCAAACACAUUACUAUAAAUACCACCGCAACAAUGAAUCCUCCUCUAUGGCCGUUUGUCGCAGCUAUUAGGGUUUAGUGGAAAUCUGCAGCGGCUCUCUCCGCUGUAGCCUCUUAUUGCUUCCACUUUCUUUAGCUAUCACCACCGCUUCCUCCUCCUUUUCCUCUUGUUCAUCCUCCGUUUUCCAGGCCUCCUUCCGCAGUAAUAGUGUUUUGGUCUGUGUAGAGUAUAAUUUCUUCUGCUAUUGCCUAUGAUGGUAUUAAAUAUACUCCGAGACUUAUAUAUCUAUGAAAAAAAUUUUAACCUGAGGCAUUUAUUUAGGCACAUUUAUUUAUUUCUUUUUUUUGCUUAAUUUUUUUUUUUGUUGCAUGUUAUUAUGAAUUUAAAUUCUUUUUUUUAAAUGUAAGCUAUGGCUAAAGUAAAAGGCAGGUGAUGAUAAAAUAGACAGGGACAUCAGUUACUCUCUUUUUAGGGAGGAUGAUGACCAAGUCUAAAAUGGGAAUCUCUCUGAUGCCUUUUUUAUAGCUUAAAAACUGUUCAUUUAUAAAAAAAAAUUUGCAUUUAUAAAUUGUGCAGAUGAUGAUAGAACAGACAGGGACAUCAGCCACUCCAAUUGAAAUUGGAGAAUGUUGACUUGUCUAAAUGGGAAUCUCUCUGAUGCACAAAUCACUUUCUAGAAAUCAAUGUUUGAUUUUAGCAUUUCAUGUGUUUGUGUUUGAAUUUUGCUUUCUUUUAUCGCUUUCAUUGAUGUCAGUGCACUUAAUGGUAUACAAAAUUGACCUACUUUGCCUGUGAUGCAAUAGAAUUUACGUAUUAUCAGAUAAGAGUAUCAUGAUGAUAUCUAUCUUAUUGUCACUACCUCUGAGGCAAAGUAAUGACUAUAAGUUGGAUUUUUACUUAGUGUCACCUCGAGUUAAUUCAGGGUCUCAUUUGAUUGGGUUCGUAUAGAUUAAUUCCUUGUUUUUUGAUUUUUGAGUGUUUGUGAGAGCAGAGUUGUUUACAAGUAUAAGUUAUAUAUUUUUGUGCCAAUGGUGGAUUUAAAUAUACCAUGAGCUAUUGCUAUGAAAACAACCUAAUCUGAGGCUUUUCUAUUCUAAACACCAUUUGUUUUGCAAAAUGCUAUCCCAUCAGGUUCUGUGAGGACAGGAUUGCUAUGCCUCUGAGGCAGUGACAACAAUGUAUCUUUGCUGAAUUUCCUGGUGACUUUUCCAAGGUUAAAGUUUUUCUCUGUGGUCUGCAGAAAUUGAGAUUGAACAGAGCGAAGAUUCUUUCAUGAUGGAGUUGAUUCGAUGGAGAUUUUAUUAGUGAAACUACUGGCAUCUUUGUAAAGGUUGUCUGAAUGCCAAUUGCUAAUUGAAAGCAAUUUCGCCACCCUGUUUGUAUUCUCAGCAGAUUUGUUAGGGCUUGGCCUGUUAACGAAGAGAACAUAAAAAGAUUGAUUGCCCUUUCCCUACCGGACUGGACUCUUUUGAUUGGUGCUGAGCUCGACCCAAACUCUUUCAAGUUCUAGCGUAGCCCAAAUAGUUUCGACGGUGGACGCUCGCUAAAGCAUGACGAAGGCAAAAUUCAGAGAAGGGAUUUGCAGCUCUAAGUUACAAAUAAAUAAAAAAUGAACCAGUGAUACAGUUAAUUUAUUAAAUAAUAUUCUUUGGACCACAACAAUUUAUUUAAAUCGAAGCUAUUAGUUUCUUUA